UCCUCUAGCCCCGCCUCUUCCCGAGAUGGGACCCCCAAACACUCCCCAGGGGGCUCUCUCCACACCCCAGGAGUUCUAUUUGUGCCUCCGGAGUGCAAGUUCACCUAACUGGUGACUUUUUUCGAACUCCCCUCCUCGCCUGAAAGAGACCUUCUUUGGCUACCCGCCCCCUGCCCUGUGGCUCCUACGUGGCUACUUUGCAGGAUGGGCUGUGUAUAAAGGGCUGGAGGCAGUUCAACCCUAACCAGAGACGUGGCGUCUGCUAGGCCUGCCUAAGCUCCGGUACCUGACUAAAGUCCAGAGAAUGGAGCAAGGAGGAACUGAAGAGAGCGUGGCUGCGAGACAUGAAGACAGAGCUGUGGACCACAGUUGGCUUUCCUGGGAAGGCUCCCUUACUGUGGGCUAUAAGAUGUAACAAGACUGUUUACUCAAUUAUUACAAAGAAAAACAAAACAAAACAAAACAAAACAGUGCUGGCCUCUUUACAUUAUGUCAUCCUGCAGGUGAGCCAGGCAUAUGUUACAGUAACCAUUCCAUAGUUUAUUUUCCCCUCUGGUUCCCACAAUUGUCUGACCCUGCCCAUGUUACCACACCUAAACACUGGCACAGAGAAGGGAAGUUUGAUGUUCUCUGUAGCAUUGCUCAGUGCUGCUUCAGUUUCAUGGACUCUGUAGUCCUCGGAAGACCCACAGCUGCAGUUACAGGUCACACCAUGAUGGCUAUCAUAGAUGUUGUCAUAGAGAACAGCUUUUAAACUAGAGAGCACACAGAUUGCACAGCCUUUCAGUGCCUCCUGUGGCCUCUCAGGAUUCACCAAAGCCCCUUUAGGGUGGUUCCUUUGCCCCCCCCCCCAAAAAGCUCUCUGGCCUUCAAUGCCCUCUCCCUGAUUGGUGUUAAGGAGACUAGAUGUGUUUUAAAAGAACAUUGUAGGAGCUUAGAUGCUGUCAUCACACACACAAGAAGGAGCACAAUUGGAUAUGAUACAAAGUGCAGGUUCUCCAUCCUUAAGGUAAAUUUCUAGGCUGCUAGGAUAUGUGAAGGAGCCUCAAGCAUGGCCCUCUCUACAGACUAAUGUCUUAUCUAUGGUCUGCCUUGGCUUCUCAGGGUUGAUCAGAGAGAUGUGACAAUGGACUCUGCCCCUGGUCAUUCCUGAUGGUUGACAUAGAGUGAUCUGCCUUCACCCACCCCAAGUGAGUUCUGCUUAUCUACGACCUCUCAUAUUCAACCCACACUAAGAAUGGCAUUCUUUCACUUCAAGGCCACAUCCAAAGAAGGAGCCCAGUUUAGUGUACAGGCCUCAGCAGUAAGUGGCUUCAGGAUGUACCCCACACACUAGGGAAGGUGAGCCUGCUCUCUGUAACAGAGUGGGGUUCAGAGUGGGGUUCACUGUCCAAAGUUCUCUUCUUCCUUCACAUGUUCAGUGACUCUUCGAGCUUCCAGCGGGACGUUGCAUUUUACUUAAGCUGCAUUUCCAGAAGUUAAAACAUCCUAGAAAUCUGCAA
rnacentral:lncRNA from 1 species